CAGCUAAGAGAAGAGACCCUGGUUGGAAGGAACCUCAGGAGCUCAUCUAGUCCAACCCGUUGCUCAAAACAGGCCCAAUUCCCAGAUAGAUUUUUGCCCCAGAUCCCUAAAUGGCCCGCUCGAGAAUUGAAUUCACAACCCUGGGUUU